UCUCUUGGAGUGCUGCUUCUGUACUUCACCUGUAAAUGUGCAAUUCUUCUUGCACAGGAAAGAAGAAACCACGAGAAAAGGUCUUCAGAGCUAUCUACUGCACAAAGUUCCCACAGAGAAACUGUAAGAGUACAAAUAUAGCAGAUGAAUUACAAUUUGCACAUAGCAACAUGACAAUGAUUUUGUUCAUUGUUUUUUCUGCUCUAAGGAAAUUGUUAAAAAGAUCAAUUCAAUUGUAUUGGCACAGAUACAUCUUACAUAACAAGGGUGUGUUUGGAAACACGUUGAAUGGAAGAAUUGCGUGUUCCAAUGCAAAAAUAAGACGGACACAAACACAUACUAAAUGAUCCGCUCCCAAAUAAUAGACAUUAGGCACACAAUUUUCACAUAACAAAACAUGUGAAAACUUAACUCUGAGGAUUCAUUUUUUCUUACAUUCUUUUGGAUAAAGCUAUAUUUGACUCAUUUGUUUUCUCUUUUGCUUUUGUUACAAUUACAUGAAAUCUGACGAUGUUGCUACCUAUGUCACUGGCUGUUGAUCAAGUACUUCCUUGCGUCGCUUUGGUAUGCAAUCCUCAAACUUUCGCCAACGUUAAGUUAGUGUGCUGCAGAAUUGUUAUGAUUGUUGUGAGAUUAGGAGGAUAAUUAUUUUGAAAAUUACACAUACAAGCAAAAUACAAAAAGCUUUUAAGAGACUUAGAAGAAACACAGCUGGACAAAUCAAUCAAGUUUGAGCAUAUAAAACACGUUGGCAGAAUUUAUUUCAUGAUUUAUAAACUAUGCAUGGAAAAGUGAAGGAAGAAAUGGUUAAUGAUUUUUUAUAGUAGAAUUUGUGUGCAAAAUUGAGCUUACUACUCUUUACUUUACCUUCAAUAUUAAUGACUUCAAAGAUGGAACUUUCAGGUGCUUUCGUCUAUUUCAAGUUGGAGAAUCUAGAAA
rnacentral:lncRNA from 1 species